UACGAAGGGAGCUAGCGUUGUUCGGAAUCACUGGGCGUAAAGCGCACGUAGGCGGAUUUGCCAGUCAGGGGUGAAAUCCCGGGGCUCAACCUCGGAACUGCCUUUGAUACAGCAAGUCUUGAGUUCGAGAGAGGUGGGUGGAAUUCCUAGUGUAGAGGUGAAAUUCGUAGAUAUUAGGAAGAACACCGGUGGCGAAGGCGGCCCACUGGUCCGGUACUGACGCUGAGGUGCGAAAGCGUGGGGAGCAAACAGG
rnacentral:rRNA from 1 species